GAUGAACGCUGGCGGCGUGCCUAACACAUGCAAGUCGAACGAGAAAGCUAUCUUCGGAAAGCGAGUACAGUGGCGAACGGGUGAGUAACACGUUGGUGACCUGCCCCGAGGUGGGGGACAACUGUAGGAAACCAUAGCUAAUACCCCAGAUGUUGAGGAGUCUAGACGUCCUUAACUAAAGUUCUGGCGCCUCGGGAGGGGCCUGCGGGCUAUCAGCUUGUUGGUGAGGUAAUGGCUUACCAAGGCUAAGACGGCUAGGGGGCGUGAGAGCGCGAUCCCCCACAAUGGGACUGAGACACGGCCCAUACUCCUACGGGAGGCAGCAGUGAGGAAUAUUGCACAAUGGGGGCAACCCUGAUGCAGCAACGCCGCGUGAACGAUGAAGGCCUUCGGGUCGUAAAGUUCUUUUCUGAGGGACGAUAAUGACGGUACCUCAGGAAUAAGUCCCGGCUAACUACGUGCCAGCAGCCGCGGUAAAACGUAGGGGGCGAGCGUUAUCCGGAUUUAUUGGGCGUAAAGCGCGCGUAGGCGGCGCGGUAAGUUGGACGUGAAAGCUCCCGGCUCAACUGGGAGAGGUCGUUCAAAACUACCG
rnacentral:rRNA from 1 species